rnacentral:rRNA from 1 species
AUGCAAGUCGAGCGGCAGCGGGAGGAAGCUUGCUUCCUUGCCGGCGAGCGGCGGACGGGUGAGUAAGGUAUGGGGAUCUGGCCGAAGGCGGGGGAUAACCACUGGAAACGGUGGCUAAUACCGCAUAAUCUCUAAGGAACAAAGUGGGGGACCGUUCUGGUCUCACACCUUCGGAUGAACCCAUAUGAGAUUAGCUAGUAGGUGGGGUAAGGGCUCACCUAGGCGACGAUCUCUAGCUGGUCUGAGAGGAUGAUCAGCCACACUGGGACUGAGACACGGCCCAGACUCCUACGGGAGGCAGCAGUGGGGAAUAUUGCACAAUGGGCGCAAGCCUGAUGCAGCCAUGCCGCGUGUAUGAAGAAGGCCUUCGGGUUGUAAAGUACUUUCAGUCGUGAGGAAGGUGUUAGGGUUAAUAACCUUAGCAAUUGACAUUAGCGACAGAAGAAGCACCGGCUAACUCCGUGCCAGCAGCCGCGGUAAUACGGAGGGUGCGAGCGUUAAUCGGAAUUACUGGGCGUAAAGGGCACGCAGGCGGUUAAUUAAGUUGGAUGUGAAAUCCCCGGGCUUAACCUGGGAAUGGCAUUCAAGACUGGUUAGCUAGAGUCUUGUAGAGGGGGGUAGAAUUCCAUGUGUAGCGGUGAAAUGCGUAGAGAUGUGGAGGAAUACCGGUGGCGAAGGCGGCCCCCUGGACAAAGACUGACGCUCAUGUGCGAAAGCGUGGGGAGCAAACAGGAUUAGAUACCCUGGUAGUCCACGCUGUAAACGAUGUCGAUUUGGAGGUUGUGGUCAUGAACUGUGGCCUCCGGAGCUAACGCGUUAAAUCGACCGCCUGGGGAGUACGGCCGCAAGGUUAAAACUCAAAUGAAUUGACGGGGGCCCGCACAAGCGGUGGAGCAUGUGGUUUAAUUCGAUGCAACGCGAAGAACCUUACCUACUCUUGACAUCCAGCGAAUCCUUUAGAGAUAGAGGAGUGCCUUCGGGAACGCUGAGACAGGUGCUGCAUGGCUGUCGUCAGCUCGUGUUGUGAAAUGUUGGGUUAAGUCCCGCAACGAGCGCAACCCUUAUCCUUUGUUGCCAGCGAGUAGAGUCGGGAACUCAAAGGAGACUGCCGGUGAUAAACCGGAGGAAGGUGGGGAUGACGUCAGGUCAUCAUGGCCCUUACGAGUAGGGCUACACACGUGCUACAAUGG